rnacentral:rRNA from 1 species
GAUGAACGCUAGCGGCAGGCCUAACACAUGCAAGUCGAGGGGCAGCACAGGUAGCAAUACUGGGUGGCGACCGGCGGAUGGGUGCGUAACGCGUAUGCAACCUACCAUUGAUUGGGGCAUAGCCCGAAGAAAUUCGGAUUAAUACUCCAUAAUAUUCAUCAAAGGCAUCUUUUAUGAAUUAAAGCUUUUGCGAUCAAUGAUGGGCAUGCGUGACAUUAGUUAGUUGGUGAGGUAACGGCUCACCAAAACGAUGAUGUCUAGGGGUUCUGAGAGGAUUAUCCCCCACACUGGUACUGAGACACGGACCAGACUCCUACGGGAGGCAGCAGUGAGGAAAUAUUGGUCAAAUGGACGCAAGUCUGAACCAGCCAUGCCGCGUGCAGGAUGACGGCCCUAUGGGUUGUAAAACUGCUUUUCCACGGAAGAACCCUCCGACGUGUCGGAGACUGACGGUACCGUGGGAAUAAGCAUCGGCUAACUCCGUG